AUUGAACGCUGGCGGCGUGCUUAACACAUGCAAGUCGAUCGGUAACGCGGGGGCAACCCUGGCGACGAGAGGCGGACGGGUGAGGAACGCUUGGGAAUCUGCCUAUCAGCGGGGGACAACACGGGGAAACUCGUGCUAAUACCGCAUACGCUCUACGGAGGAAAGCCGGGGACCGCAAGGCCUGGCACUGAUAGAUGAGCCCAAGCCGGAUUAGCUAGUUGGCGGGGUAACGGCCCACCAAGGCGACGAUCCGUAGCUGGUCUGAGAGGACGAUCAGCCACACUGGGACUGAGACACGGCCCAGACUCCUACGGGAGGCAGCAGUGGGGAAUAUUGGACAAUGGGGGAAACCCUGAUCCAGCGACGCCGCGUGGGUGAAGAAGGCCUGCGGGUUGUAAAGCCCUUUCGGUAGGGACGAAAGCUCUCGACCUAACACGUCGGGAGGUUGACUUAACCUACAGAAGAAGCACCGGCUAACUCUGUGCCAGCCGCCGCCGUAACAC
rnacentral:rRNA from 1 species